rnacentral:rRNA from 1 species
GAUGAACGCUGGCGGCGUGCUUAACACAUGCAAGUCGAACGGAAAGGCCCAAGCUUGCUUGGGUACUCGAGUGGCGAACGGGUGAGUAACACGUGGGUGAUCUGCCCUGCACUUCGGGAUAAGCCUGGGAAACUGGGUCUAAUACCGGAUAGGACCACAAUUUGGAUGGUGUGGUGGAAAGUUUUUCGGUGUGGGAUGAGCUCGCGGCCUAUCAGCUUGUUGGUGGGGUAAUGGCCUACCAAGGCGUCGACGGGUAGCCGGCCUGAGAGGGUGUACGGCCACAUUGGGACUGAGAUACGGCCCAGACUCCUACGGGAGGCAGCAGUGGGGAAUAUUGCACAAUGGGCGCAAGCCUGAUGCAGCGACGCCGCGUGGGGGAUGACGGCCUUCGGGUUGUAAACUCCUUUCGCUAGGGACGAAGCGCAAGUGACGGUACCUGGAGAAGAAGCACCGGCUAACUACGU